UCCAGGCCACGUCGUCUUAAUUUUUAUGUUCCAUUUCUAUUGCACGUUCCGUGCAUUUUUUAUACCAGCCUCUCGUAGAUUUACAACUAUCCGUCUGUCCGGAUAAACGGCGAGAUUUCGGGUUGACACUAAAGUAUAUAUAUAGUAGUAUAUGGUGCUUAUAAGCAAGCAAACGCUACUAUGCGGUUGUCACGCCCUCUUUUACGCCCACAAGCCGGUAAAAACUGGCCCUCAUUUCUGAAAAAUGAUAGCAUUGCACCACGAAAUGCCAACUCCUGUAGUGACAUGAUUAUUAAAGCAGCAAGAGGGAGCUUUGGAGAGAUGCACUACGGCAGGCCAACUAGGCCGUCGCUACGCCUGAUUCAUCCAAGGGUCCGUAAUGAAAACACCCUUUUAGUCUUAACGUAACGUGUUUAUUGUGGUAUGUGAAUGAAGUCUAAGUCGGAUCCUUAGGCCGCCUUGGGAUUCCGCACUUGUCCGGCGAAGAGUA